AUCGCUGAUCUUCUCAUGUGAUCCUUUUACAGACGAUAUUCAGGGGGAUCAAGUAACUUGCAUAAAGACAUAAAAUGACAGAUCCUACAGGAGAUAGCAUGAUGAUGAAAACUCUGUGCUUCCCACUGCUGCUACAAAAAGACCAGAUUAAAAUUUUAUGACACUUUU